GUGGGGAAUAUUGCACAAUGGGCGAAAGCCUGAUGCAGCAACGCCGCGUGAGGGACGACGGCCUUCGGGUUGUAAACCUCUUUUAGUAGGGAAGAAGCGAAAGUGACGGUACCUGCAGAAAAAGCACCGGCUAACUACGUGCCAGCAGCCGCGGUAAUACGUAGGGUGCAAGCGUUAUCCGGAAUUAUUGGGCGUAAAGAGCUCGUAGGCGGUCUGUCGCGUCUGCUGUGAAAACUGGAGGCUCAACCUCCAGCCUGCAGUGGGUACGGGCAGACUAGAGUGCGGUAGGGGAGAUGGGAAUUGCUGUUGUAGCGGUGGAAUGCGAAGAUAUAAGGAGGAACACCGAUGGCGAAGGCAGAUCUCUGGGCCGUAACUGACGCUGAGGAGCGAAAGCGUGGGGAGCGAACAGGAUUAGAAACCCGAGUAGUCC
rnacentral:rRNA from 1 species